GUUGUGGCGUUUAUUUUCCAAACUCCGAUUCUAUUUUCCUUUUACUUUAGACUUUUAUUCGAUUAUUGAAUAUAACAAUUUAAUUAUUUUCGGUUUAUUACAGAACUUGAAAGACUUUAAAAGAGUUCACAAGAGAUAUGUCUCGAAAUGCGAAGAAAUUUAAAGCAAAAGAGGUUCUCUAUUUUCAGGUGUCAUAAGCGAAAAUCUUACUGUACAAACAAUAACACCAAGACUAUUAACUCAUAUCGUCACAAGCUUGGAUCAGGCUGUGAGUUAGACACUCAAAUUCCUCGAGCAAGCCGCUUUUACGAAACUCAGAGAUCAAAGGUUGACCAUCACUACAUCAAAACCCAACACUUACACAUGAGAAGAGUAUACAUUAGAUCCAGCAAAGCUCACCAAAACUACUCAUAACACGGUUCGGAGCAAUGGUUUUGCUUCAUCAAUAACUGAUGCCGCUCUCUCAGCAAGCGAAAUACGCAUUGCCAACACCAGUCUCCUCUACUUCACGUCCGAUACGAGUGAAUAUUCCAACUAAUGCAUCUAAACUCACUCCUUGCUCUCCCUUUAUCUCAUGUGCCUAUUACAAACAAUCAGACCUUAUUUACUACAUUCCGGAUGCAAAGGCCCUACUUAUGAAGGUUCGUGUACUGGAUCCCUCGGUCUGUCUCUCAGUCUGCUCUCAAGAAAGUAUCACGAGCUGGUCUAAGUUGAUAUACACAUCUCAAACGGCUUCAAUAUCAAUUAGGAGGCAACUGGGACAUAGUCUACUUUUGCGGAAAAUGGUCUUUUUCAACAUGAACUUUGCCCGUCGUGCCUAUUUUUUUUCCGAACUUUAUAAUAGUGCAUAUUUCAUACUAAACUAAGCAAAAAUUCAAAUGUACUACAUGAACUUUAAUGCAUCGUAUCUUUUCAUUCCCAGACUUGUAGUAGUGCAUAUUCUAUACCAAACUAAACAAAAAUUCAAAAAUACUACAUGAACUCUUAAAAUCGUGCUUCUAUAUAUAUUGACCGUCAAAGGUAUUAUUCAUCUGUUAAUUUAUCAAAACAACGUCAGUUUGGAUAACAUCUAUAAACCAAAAUAACUUUCUUGUAUAAAUUGUGUAAACAUUAACUUAUAUAUAUUUUUUAGUUUAAUCAAAUAAAUGUUAUCAAAUUUUUAUUGUUUUAAUUUUAUCAAAUUAAUCUAUAAUUACGUAUGUUUUUAAAUUUACCUUUAAAAAUUAUUAUUUUAUAAGUUUAAAUUAUUUAUUAUUAAUUCAAAUAUUUAAUUUAUGCUUGUCCACCAGUGUGAGAGUUUGAAUCUCCCAAAAAAUAAAUUUUAACUUUACAGAAUUUAUCCAAGAUAACAGGUUUUUGAUAAAUUAAUGGAUGACUAAUACCUUUGACGAUCAAUAUAUAUAAGCACGAUUUUGAGAGUUCAUAUAGUAUUUUUAAUUUUACAGAAUUCAUCUAAAAUAAUGUCGUUUUGAUAAAUUAACGGAUGAGUAACACCUUUGACGAUCAAUAUAUAUAGAAGCACAAUUUUAAGAGUUCAUGUAGUAUUUUUGAAUUUUUGUUAGUUUGGUAUGGAAUAUGCACUACUAAAAGUUCGGUAAUGAAAAUACACGAUGCAUUAAAGUUCAUGUAGUAUAUUUAAAUUUUUGUUUAGUUCAGUAUAGAAUACGCACUACUACAAAGUUCGGGAAGGAAUAGGCACGACGGGUAAAAUUCAUGUUGAAAGGCCAACAAAAAGGAUAUGCUUUCACCUUUACUUCUCAAAAUCGGUGGUCUUGUUCCUGAUAACCGAAGCCUACGCUACUUAAAGCAGGUGUAUCUUUCUUAACAUUAACAUUAAGUAAAUUUUCAGUUAGGAAAGUUGUAUGUUACACAACGAAUUUUCAAAAGUUGUUGAAUUUUCUUGUACCUAAUCAAAGUAAAGACUCAAUAUUUGGAAACUAAGUCGUUCUUAAUCACUUAUUGGACAAGCAAGUUUUUGAUUCUCUGUACAUAGCUUAAGUAAGACGCAAUGUAGUGGAAAUUGACUAAACCAUUCGUAAACAAAGUCUUUUACUCUUUGCGUUCACCGUCAAGAACACUUACGUGACUUGUAAAAGUUCAAAUUCAUUUUAUGUUGGACAACUGAAUGACAAAAGGAGUUUUAGAAAAAGCCCAAAAUCAAAUCUGGUGAAAUAUUAGACCAUCUCUAAUGGUUUACUCUAUUUUAGAGUAGUUUUCACUCUAAAAUAGUGUUACUCUAAAAUAGAUUAGAGUUUUUCUCCAACGGUUUACUCUAUAUUUGACUCGAAAAAUAUUUUUUCAAUUUUAUAACUAAUAUCUUUUACUUACAAAAUUUACAAAUUGACUCUUUAUAUUUUAUUUUUCACAAAAUUUUCAUAAAUCAUAUAUUUAUAUCAAACAUUUAUUAUAUUAGAGUUUGCAUUACAUUUUAUUAAUAACAUAAUACAUUUUAACUUAAACAUCUCCAUUAGUAUAUAUUUCCCACAAGUGAUCAAUUAACGCAUUUCAGAGUAUGAAAUGAAUUUUUUUUAUCUUUGAUUUUUUCUAAAUCGACCAAAAAAACUCUUCAAAUCGAAUAUUAUCAUUCUUUCGUGUCUGAAUCUGUGGAAGUGGAACUUCUCUUCCCACUUUUGUUGGUGCGCUAAAAUCAAAUUCAUCCUCAUAUCAUGUUGUAUAAAAUUAUACAUGUAAUCCAUAUGCAUUGGUCACCAAUAUAUUUUUAUAUAUUUUAGUUACAUAUACAUGCAUUAAAAAAUAUUUAGUUUGUGACUUGAGUUCAGAGCAAGAUUCAGAUGUUCGUGAAUAUUUUCAAGAGGAACAAACACGAAUUUUACAAACAGACAAAGACGUGGUCAACAACAUGAACAAGAAGCUACUCAUUCGAUUACCUCAUUUGGACAAUAUUUUAACAAUCUUGCUCGAUCUGGAAGCAAUUUACCAAAAAGUAAGUCAUUAUUAUCUAUGGUUUUAAUUUUAUUUUGAGUUGCUUAUUUUUAAUUUUAGUAUUUGUUUUUUUUUCUAAUUUUAAAAAAAAAAUUUAAAAUUUUAGUGUCUAUUUUCUUUGGCUAAUAAUAAUAAAUUUUAAAUGUUUAUAUAUAUUGUGUUAAACAUAAUUAUGUGUUGUUUGCAUAAUUAAAUUAAAUAAAUAGUUACAAAAUAAAAAGAUUGAAAAAUAAAAGGACUAAAGUAUAAAUUAAAGAGUUCCACUCUAUAAUAGAGUAAGAAAUAGAGUUACUCCAAAUAUAGAGUAAGAAAUAAAAUUACACUUUUUUAGAGUGGGAUAUAGAAUGUGACUGGAAAAGGUUUUACUCUAUAAUAGAGUUUAGUGUAGAAAAUAGAGUGGGAUUAGAGAUGUCCUUAGACGAACUAAAAGCGCAAAGCUAUGAAUCACUCUUUAGAAAAAGUGUAGAGUUCUAGAAAGAAAAAAAAAGUGUAGAGCUAAGACAAUCCCCAAGUAAUUAAUUCAAGAUAUAAAGUUAGUGUAUUCUAACUCCGAUUUUCAAAAGGAAAUUACACAAGAAAAUAUCCAAUGUAUUAAAUCAGAUACAUAAUAUACAACAAAAGGUAUUCUAAACAUGGGGAUUAGGAAAAAUGCUAUUGUAAAUCUUUAAAUUAUUGAAAUUAAAGUUAGACCGUGCUCUAAGAAAAAGAAAAUUAAAACACACAAGACAAAAUAUUUCAUUUCACGAAAGAAAACAGCAAUGCGGUAUAUAUCGCUUAUUAUAACUGUUACAAUACUAUGAUUUGGUAGAAAUGUAGUAUUCUAGCUAGGGAAGUACUUGGUUGUCGAAAUGGCCUCCAUUUCGACUUGAACAACCAACAUAUCAUUUCUAACGAAACCCGUUGAUGAAUCUCUGAGAUCAGAAAGAGGCAUGAAGUCAGCGUAUCCCCACCCAAUAUUCUGUGGACUGAACCAGUUAUCCACUGCCAGAACAAAAAGAUUCACAUAUAUGGUUAACGACGUUAGAAAUUAAUCUCACACUUAAAAGCAACAUUAUAUAU